UGUUGGGGCAGGUCAUGGAGGGCAGUCCUCUUUUGCUUGGAUUAUCCCAAUUCCAUUCCAUGCUUAGGCUGGUAGAGAGCACAGGCACACCUCGUUUCAUUGCUUCACUUUAUUGCCCGUCAAAGACACUGUGUUUUUUUGUUUUUUGUUUUUUUUUACAAAUUGAAGGUUUGCGGUAACCCUGUGUUGUCAGAUGACGGUUAGCAUUUUUUAGCAAUAAAGUAUUUUUAAAUUAAGGUAUUUACAUUGUUUUUAAAGACAUGAUGCUACUGCACACUAAACAGACUUCAGUGUAGUGUAAACAUAAAUUUCCUAUGUACUGGGCAACCAAAAAAUUCCUGUGAUUUGUUUUAUUGCAUUAUUCACUUCACUGAGGUGGCCUGGAACUGACCCCAUAAUGUCUCCGAGGUCUGCCUGUGAAUGUAUUUUAAGAAAUGAUUAAGGACAUAUGGGUGAAAAGGUGAGCUCAGGUGAGGAAAUAAGAAAAGCCUUGGUAACCUGUCCUACAGAACCCAGUGGGUGGAUCCGCUUGAGCAGACAGACCUCCCAGGCCCGUUCUGUGCAAGGCCCCACGUGCGUCUGCACAGACUAUACAAUACUUCACGUGGGCAGGGACCACGCUCAUCCUCACCGAUAUGUGCGAGACCUGGCACAUAGGCAAGAAUCCUGUAUGGUUUAUCCACCGCUGUUACCCCAGAGCCUUGCACAGAGCCUGGCGCAGAGCAGAAAUUUUGAGGGGGUCUGAUGAAUCCAUGAACCUAUGAGGCACAGUCAAAGAAGAUCCAGGGCCAGACAUACCUGGUUUUCAAGCUAUAUGACUCUGGGCAAGUUACUGAACUUCUCUGACCCUGUUUCUUCCUCAGGAAAAAUAAAUGCCACCCAGCAUC